rnacentral:rRNA from 1 species
UACGUAGGGUGCGAGCGUUGUCCGGAAUCACUGGGCGUAAAGGGCGCGUAGGUGGUGGCUUAAGCGUGCGGUGAAAGCUCGGAGCUCAACUCCGAGUCGGCCGUGCGAACUGGGCUCACUGGAGCAUAGUAGAGGCAGGUGGAAUUCCGGGUGUAGCGGUGGAAUGCGUAGAGAUCCGGAAGAACACCGGUGGCGAAGGCGGCCUGCUGGGCUAUGGCUGACACUGAGGCGCGACA